rnacentral:lncRNA from 1 species
GUGUUAGACUAUUGUUGAGGUUGACACAAUAUUAGAAGUAAAUUAUAUAUUUAUAUAUGUUUGUAAAGGUAUAAAGAGAGUCUAGAAUGUCAGUUUGAAGUGCUAUACGCACUACCUUAGGCACAUCCUCGGAUUUUGGUUACACUAGAAGUACCACCCUGUGAAAGUUAGGUCCCACGUGGCGUAGGUUAUCCGGCGUGCGGACAGGCCCCAUACGUGGCGUUGGUUGUACUGGCAUAUGGGGAGAUACUGUGAUGUGAUGUUGAGAUCUCACAUGGCGUAGGUUAUCCGGGAUUGAGACAGGCCCCAUACACGGCGUUGGUUGUACCUGCGUAUGGGGAGAUAUGUGAUAUUACAUUGAGGUCGCAGGUGGCGUAGGUUAUUCGGCGUGUCGACAGACCCCAUACGUGGCGUUGGUUGUACUGGCGUAUGAGGAGAUAUGUGAUAUGAUGUGCAGGUCUCGCGUGGCAUAGGUUAUCCGGCGUUGAGACAGGCCCCAUACGUGCUUUGGUU